rnacentral:rRNA from 1 species
AUUGAACGCUGGCGGCAGGCUUAACACAUGCAAGUCGAGCGGAGAUGAGGUGCUUGCACCUUAUCUUAGCGGCGGACGGGUGAGUAAUGCGUAGGAAUCUGCCUAUUAGUGGGGGACAACAUUCCGAAAGGAAUGCUAAUACCGCAUACGCCCUACGGGGGAAAGCAGGGGAUCUUCGGACCUUGCGCUAAUAGAUGAGCCUAAGUCGGAUUAGCUAGUUGGUGGGGUAAAGGCCUACCAAGGCGACGAUCUGUAGCGGGUCUGAGAGGAUGAUCCGCCACACUGGGACUGAGCCACGGCCCAGACUCCUACGGGAGGCAGCAGUGGGGAAUAUUGGACAAUGGGCGGAAGCCUGAUCCAGCCAUGCCGCGUGUGUGAAGAAGGCCUUUUGGUUGUAAAGCACUUUAAGCGAGGAGGAGGCUACCUGGAUUAAUACUCUAGGAUAGUGGACGUUACUCGCAGAAUAAGCACCGGCUAACUCUGUGCCAGCCGCCGCCGUAAAAC